AGGAGUGGAUUGUGGGCUGUGACCCUGGGGCUGUAUCUGGGCCUCCACCCCUUCCUCUCCUGUUCUUUCCCUCUCUCUCUGCUCCAUGGCCACUGUGAGGGGAGCAGCUUUCUCCACUGCACCCUUCUGCCGUGAGGUUUCUGCUUCACCACAGGGCCAUUGCAGCGGAGCCUGCUGACUCUGGACUGAAACCUUCAAAACCUUGGACUUAAUCCUGCACCUGUGUUGAAGACUGUAGAACCCAGGAGAAUGGUGAUCUGAGCAAGAGAAGAUCUGAAGUUUCAGUGCUCGUACCAUGUGAUGCUACCAUGAGGAGGCCCUCACUAGAACUGAGCAGAGGCUCACAACAUGCUCUAGGACUUUUAGGACUCUGCCAUUAACUGUUGCCCUCUCACACCACUCUGCCUUGGAGCCAGCUGAUUAUCGACUGAAACCUCCACAAACGGCAGGUGGGUUUUAUGAAGAGCACAUUUCCUACAGACAGCAGGCCUGCUUCCCUUCCUCAUGGGAGGCCCAGAAGGAUUUCUCCAGAAGGAAGAAGCAGAGCACAUGCUCUGGGAAGCUCAACUUUCUCUCUGCUUGUGCAGAUGUGCACAUGUGUCCAGACCCCUCCACCUCUCCACAGGAGGCCCAAACCUGGAAGUGAGGACAUGGCUUACUGAAGGAUCAUUGUGUGCUGGGUGCCUGCACUUCUGCAGGAGAGGGUGCAGGGGACUCUGUGACCAGAAAGGUGAAUGGUGAAACACAUGAUGUUAUCUGCCUACCAUGGACCAGGACCCAACUCUAAGUGGGCAGAAUCAUAGAGACACCAACACAGAUGAAUCUCAAAAACAUUAAGCUGAAUGAAAGAAGUGACUCAUAAAUGGCUACACACUGUAUGAUCCUAUCUCUGUGACGUUCUGGAAGAGGCAAAAGUUGAGAGACAGAGCUCAGAUUCGUGGUUUCCAAAGACUGAGUGUGGAGGACUUAGAGGGGAAUCGCUACAAAAGUAGCAAGGGAACUUCCGGUGAACUGAAAACACUCUCUGUUGACUGUGGUGAUGGUGUGUAACUGUACGCAUAGGCCAACACUUAGAAAACUACACACCUCCAAUGGGUGGGCAUUACUGGGUGUAAAUUAUACCACCAAAAAUGUGACUUCAAGAACUUUAAAGUAGAAGUCCAGAAACUGGCCAGAGUUCCAUUUUCUGUCAGGGACUGUUUUUCCAAAAAGGCGGUAAUUGAGACAAGGGCCAAGCUGGGUUGAAGGAGCCAGCUGUGUGUCACCUGGGAAGGACAACUGGGGACUUGAGAAACACGUGGGAGGCCAGGGCUGUGUGGUCCAACUUUAUAGCUCAUUCCAAGCAAGAGGGGAAACACAGAAACACACGGAGUGAGGGAGUGACAAGACUGUUUUGGAUGAUUUCUGGUUUUCAGGAGUCUCUCUGCCUGUGGUGUACAGAAUAGCCUCGACGGGCUAAGAGUAGAAAUACAGACCCAAGUGGAGAGGUGAGGUUUAGGAAUGAGGACGGGUGGAGAAGCUGAGAAAGAGGAGAAAGAUGAGAACAGGAAGACACAUGCCCUGUCAGAAGCGCCCUUUAAUCUACACUCUCUUAAUGCUCCACCUCGUCGUUGAGGGCUCCCUCUUGCCCUCAUAGAACAUUCUCGUCUGUCUUUCCUAGAGCACAGGGAGAGAGAACCCAUGUGACUUCCUUAGGCAGCAGACAGAACUGAUGCUCCGAAGAACAGGGGUUUCCCCUCAUCUCCUUUAAAUUAUUUGUCCCUCUGAGGUCCAGACUUACUUUCAGGGAGGUCUGCCUGCUGCCAAGUGGAAGAAGGAGGAAUCUGGCCUCUGCAGGAGAAUUAAUGCAGGGGAGACUAAAAGGCAAAGAGACAAAUCUCAUUGCCUAGAUAAACAGGUUCCAGCAUCCCGAUUACCAAGAUCCUAACUCUGUCUGACUCAGCACACAGUUUUAGAAAUUUUGCUCUCUUGCUCACUUAGUCCCCAGAUGGAGCAUAUGCCGUGCUUGGAUUGCAAUGUGAAAAGUGUUUCCACAGCAGAAAUUGAUCUCCUGUGUGUUGAGAUUUAUAGGGAGAAAGAUUUUAGAGGGAUUAAAGCUGUUUAUACCCAACUGACAUGGACAUGUUACAAUGGAAGACAGAACCCUGAGGAUGAAACUUGGCUUCUACAUUGAAAAGAGAGUUAUAGCUCAUUUAGAACCACUUUAAGGUACGUUCAUUAGUCUAAAAAUAGUGUGUCACUCGCAGGAACAGCAUGUAAGGAGGUUUUCAAUUGCAAAGGAAGCAUUGGCAGUUGGAGUUUAUUAUCACACCUGUCACAAGAAUUGGGGGUCCACAUUUGCUGACUCCUCAGCAGUUUGUUGACAUUGGUCAUGCCUAUUUACUGAGACUCUCUGAGAUUUUGCCUCAUGGUCACAAGAUGGAUGCGAGCAUCCUGAUUACUGUAUCUUCACAUCACAAGGUCCAAAAACAUGAAGUAGGGACUAGAAGAUGUAGCUCAGAGGUAGAACUUUUUUUAACACUCAUGAGGCCCUGGGUUCAAUCCCCAGCAUGGCCAAAAAACAAACAAAACAAAAAUAAAACCCCAUACAAAGUAUGAGUGGGCCUGUCUGUGUGUGCCUAUUUUUUUUUUUUUUAUCAGUUUUCUUUCUCGUUGAGGGCUCACUCUUGCCAAAAUCCCAAACGAUUUUCCCUUUCAUGUCAGUGGAUGAAACUAGGUUCUAUACCCACUUCUAAACUAACCUUCGUAGAUCUUGAUUCAUAUCCACGAGGCUGGGAACAUCUUCCCUGAGCAUUGCUGCUCAGUAGUUGAGCAAACCCAAAGCUGAGUAUAGCAACCUACCAUAGUUUAUACUUCCUGAGUAAGUACAUUGUGAACUAGGUUCCUGCUCUGAGCUUUGCAUACACUGUCUAAUCUUUAUAAUAGUGUGGGAAUUGGGAAUCUACAAAUUGCAAUUGAAAAAGUUGGGGUUUGGAAAUGCAAAACAAUUUUUGUCCUCCAUCUCGCAGGAGUUAGCUAAUGUAUUCAAAUCUUUUUCCAGGUAACUCUGAUCUUGAGCUGUUAACAUCCUAUGGCAAAAAUGUAUAAUGUGGCAUAACAUAGGGUGUGUGUGUGUGUGUGUGUGUGUG